rnacentral:rRNA from 1 species
GUGCCAGCAGCCGCGGUAAUACGUAGGUGACAAGCGUUAUCCGGAAUUACUGGGCGUAAAGCGCACGCAGGCGGCGCGGUAAGUCUGAUGUGAAAUCUCCCGGCUUAACUGGGAGGGGUCAUUGGAAACUGCCGAGCUUGAGGCGGUGAGAGGGGUGUAGAAUUCCCGGUGUAGUGGUGGAAUGCGUAGAUAUCGGGAGGAAUACCAGUGGCGAAAGCGACACCCUGGCACUAGCCUGACGCUCAUGUGCGAAGGCGUGGGGAGCGAACGGGAUUAGAUACCCUUGUAGUCC